AGAGUUUGAUCCUGGCUCAGGAUGAACGCUGGCGGCGUGCCUAACACAUGCAAGUCGAGCGCGAUUAAGUGGAGUGGAGACUUCGGUCAAAGCGAAACUUAUGAAAGCGGCGGACGGGUGAGUAACGCGUGGGCAACCUGCCCCAUACAGAGGGAUAGCCACUGGAAACGGUGAUUAAUACCUCAUGAGUCAGUAAGGGCGCAUGAGCUAGCUGACAAAGAUUUAUCGGUAUGGGAUGGGCCCGCGGCUGAUUAGCGAGUUGGUGAGGUAACGGCGCACCAAGGCGACGAGCAGGAGCCGACCUGAGAGGGUGAGCGGCCACACUGGAACUGAGACACGGGCCAGACGCCGACGGGAGGCAGCAGUGGGGAAGAUUGCACAAUGGGCGCAAGCCUGAUGCAGCAACGCCGCGUGAGUGAAGAAGGCCUUCGGG
rnacentral:rRNA from 1 species